CGUUCAUUGGAAGUCUGCUGAUGCUCAGAGCUGGAGCUAUCACUGCUGCAGCCCGACCAAACUUGGGGCAUGUGAUGGAGGAAAGGUUUCGUUUGCUUUUGCCACUGGAUCAGGCUUCAGGUGACAUCAGGGAUCAGGUUGAAAGACUACAGACAUCAUUGCACUGCUGUGGUCUGUUUGGCUACAAAGACUGGGAGAACAGCAUCCCUGAUUCCUGCCUGUGCAAACAGGAUGUAGAGGAAUGUCAGACAGUCAGC